rnacentral:rRNA from 1 species
UACGUAGGGUGCAGGCGUUAAUCGGAAUUACUGGGCGUAAAGCGUGCGCAGGCGGUUUCUUAAGUCAGAUGUGAAAGCCCCGGGCUUAACCUGGGAACUGCGUUUGAAACUGGGAGGCUUGAGUGUGGCAGAGGGGGGUGGAAUUCCACGUGUAGCAGUGAAAUGCGUAGAUAUGUGGAGGAACACCGAUGGCGAAGGCAGCCCCCUGGGUUAACACUGACGCUCAUGCACGAAAGCGUGGGGAGCAAACAGG